rnacentral:tRNA from 1 species
CAGGGUAUAGUUUAAAAAAAACAUCAGUUUUGGGAAUUGAAGAUGUCUGUUGUGACUAGCUUGA